UGCGCAGGCGGAAUAAUAAGUCAGUGGUGAAAUCCCGAGGCUCAACCUCGGAACUGCCAUUGAUACUGGAAGUCUUGAAUUUGGUUGAAGUGGGCGGAAUGUAGCAUGUAGCGGUGAAAUGCUUAGAUAUGCUACAGAACACCGAUCGCGAAGGCAGCUCACUAAGCCAAUAUUGACGCUCAGGCACGAAAGCGUGGGGAGCAAACAGGAUUAGAUACCCUGGUAGUCC
rnacentral:rRNA from 1 species